GCUUCGAUAGCUCAGUAGGUAGAGCGCUUCCAUGGUAAGGAAGAGGUCGCCAGUUCAACUCUGGUUCGAAGCU
rnacentral:tRNA from 1 species